UCCUACGGGGGGCAGCAGUGAGGAAUAUUGGUCAAUGGGCUUACGCCUGAACCAGCCAAGUCGCGUGAGGGAAGACUGCCCUAUGGGUUGUAAACCUCUUUUGUCAGGGAACAAAGGCGGGGACUAGUCCCCGGAUGAGGGUACCUGAAGAAAAAGCAUCGGCUAACUCCGUGCCAGCAGCCGCGGUAAUACGGAGGGUGCGAGCGUUAUCCGGAUUUAUUGGGUUUAAAGGGUGCGCAGGCGGCCUGUUAAGUCAGCGGUAAAAGCCCGGGGCUCAACCCCGGCGAGCCGUUGAAACGGGCGGG
rnacentral:rRNA from 1 species